rnacentral:rRNA from 1 species
UACGUAGGGGGCGAGCGUUAUCCGGAAUUACUGGGCGUAAAGCGCACGCAGGCGGUUCGCCAAGUUUGGAGUGACAGUUGUCGGCUCAACCGACAAAGGACUUCAAAAACUGGUGAACUUGAGGACGAGAGAGGAACAUGGAACUCCAGGUGUAGUAGUGAAAUGCGUAGAUAUCUGGAAGAACACCAAUGGCGAAGGCAAUGUUCUGGCUCGUUUCUGACGCUCAGGUGCGAAAGCGUGGGGAGCGAACAGG